rnacentral:rRNA from 1 species
UGGGGAAUAUUGGACAAUGGGCGAAAGCCUGAUCCAGCCAUGCCGCGUGUGUGAAGAAGGCCUUUUGUUUGUAAAGCACUUUAAGCGAGGAGGAGGCUACUAGUACUAAUACUACUGGAUAGUGGACGUUACUCGCAGAAUAAGCACCGGCUAACUCUGUGCCAGCAGCCGCGGUAAUACAGAGGGUGCGAGCGUUAAUCGGAUUUACUGGGCGUAAAGCGUGCGUAGGCGGCUGAUUAAGUCGGAUGUGAAAUCCCUGAGCUUAACUUAGGAAUUGCAUUCGAUACUGGUCAGCUAGAGUAUGGGAGAGGAUGGUAGAAUUCCAGGUGUAGCGGUGAAAUGCGUAGAGAUCUGGAGGAAUACCGAUGGCGAAGGCAGCCAUCUGGCCUAAUACUGACGCUGAGGUACGAAAGCAUGGGGAGCAAACAGG